rnacentral:rRNA from 1 species
AGCAUGAUGGCCAAGAGUGGAAGGCUAGUGCUGCUUAAAUCAACACUGAUCUCCCUUGCUAUCUACUUGAUGACUGUGCACAAGCUGCCCGUGUGGAUUCGGAAGCAAGUCGUCUGGCUUUGCACGGCGUGGUUAUGGAGUGGGGAGACGUCGUGCAAUGGAGGAAAAUGCAGAGUCAGUUGGGCACUACUGGCACGGCCGAAGCACCUUGGGGGCCUGGGUGUCUUUGAUCUACAGAAAUUCGGGCGAGCGCUCCGCCUUCGAUGGCUUUGGAUGUCCUGGCAACAACCGGAGAGGCCUUGGGUUGGUCUGGACUUGCCUUGUGACAAAUCUGACAGGGCGCUAUUCUCCAUGGCGACAUCGAUCACAGUAAGCGAUGGCAGACUUGCAAGCUUUUGGCAUGACCGAUGGUUGCAAGGCUUAUGUCCAAAAACAAUUGCUCCAAACCUGUUCAGAGUCUCCAUCAGAAAGAAUCGCUCGGUCAGAGAAGCUCUGCAUGAGGAUAGGUGGAUGCUAGACCUAGCG